UCCCUGAUAACUUAGAUGGUAAAGAAUCUGCGUGCAAUGCAGGAGACCCAGGUUCAAUUCCUGGGUUGGGAA
rfam:Ovis aries breed Texel chromosome 17, whole genome shotgun sequence.